GAUCCUGACUCAGGAUGAACGCUAGCUACAGGCUUAACACAUGCAAGUCGAGGGGCAGCAUGGUCUUAGCUUGCUAAGGCCGAUGGCGACCGGCGCACGGGUGAGUAACACGUAUCCAACCUGCCGUCUACUCUUGGACAGCCUUCUGAAAGGAAGAUUAAUACAAGAUGGCAUCAUGAGUUCACAUGUUCACAUGAUUAAAGGUAUUCCGGUAGACGAUGGGGA
rnacentral:rRNA from 1 species